GCCGGGCACGGUGGCUUGUGCCUGUAAUCCCAGUGCCAGGGAGGCUGAGGCUGGCAGAUGGCUUGAGCCCGGGGGGUUCUGGGCUGCAGCGAGGUGUGCCGAGCGGGCGUCUGCAUGAAGUUUAGCAUCGAUGUGGUGGUACUGGGGGAGCCGUGGGCCACCAGGUCACCUAAGGAGGGGUGAACUGGCCACAGGUCAGAGACGGAGCAGGUCAAAGCUCCUGUGCUGAUCAGUAGCGGGAUGGCACCUGUGAACAGUCCCUGUAGCACAGCCCGGGUGAGAGAGCGGGACCCAGUUUCCU
rnacentral:SRP_RNA from 1 species